rnacentral:rRNA from 1 species
AGAGUUUGAUCCUGGCUCAGGACGAACGCUGGCGGCGUGCUUAACACAUGCAAGUCGAACGAGAAUCUGCUGAAGGAGGAUUCGUCCAACGGAUGUAGAGGAAAGUGGCGGACGGGUGAGUAACGCGUGAGGAACCUGCCUUGAAGAGGGGGACAACAGUUGGAAACGACUGCUAAUACCGCAUGACGCAUAGAGGUCGCAUGAUCUUUAUGCCAAAGAUUUAUCGCUUCAAGAUGGCCUCGCGUCUGAUUAGCUAGUUGGCGGGGUAACGGCCCACCAAGGCGACGAUCAGUAGCCGGACUGAGAGGUUGAACGGCCACAUUGGGACUGAGAUACGGCCCAGACUCCUACGGGAGGCAGCAGUGGGGAAUAUUGGGCAAUGGGCGCAAGCCUGACCCAGCAACGCCGCGUGAAGGAAGAAGGCUUUCGGGUUGUAAACUUCUUUUGUCAGGGACGAGUAGAAGACGGUACCUGACGAAUAAGCCACGGCUAACUACGUGCCAGCAGCCGCGGUAAUACGUAGGUGGCAAGCGUUGUCCGGAUUUACUGGGUGUAAAGGGCGUGCAGCCGGGUCUGCAAGUCAGAUGUGAAAUCCAUGGGCUCAACCCAUGAACUGCAUUUGAAACUGUAGAUCUUGAGUGUCGGAGGGGCAAUCGGAAUUCCUAGUGUAGCGGUGAAAUGCGUAGAUAUUAGGAGGAACACCAGUGGCGAAGGCGGAUUGCUGGACGAUAACUGACGGUGAGGCGCGAAAGUGUGGGGAGCAAACAGGAUUAGAUACCCUGGUAGUCCACACUGUAAACGAUGAAUACUAGGUGUGCGGGGACUGACCCCCUGCGUGCCGCAGUAAACACAAUAAGUAUUCCACCUGGGGAGUACGAUCGCAAGGUUGAAACUCAAAGGAAUUGACGGGGGCCCGCACAAGCGGUGGAUUAUGUGGUUUAAUUCGAAGCAACGCGAAGAACCUUACCAGGGUUUGACAUCCUGCUAACGAAGUAGAGAUACAUUAGGUGCCCUUCGGGGAAAGCAGA